AGAAGAUACCAGUGGAAACCAGAACCUGGGGCAUUUGAGUCACUGGAACUAUUCAACUGCUUAUCCCCCUUCUAAGCAGCCAAUAGACAGAAUCUCUGGGCCACAGAGCGCUCCAGUCCUUCAGGAAUGAUUGGAAGACCUUGGCCUACGGAGGCCCUGUAAGACUGGAUGUUCGGUCUGAGCUGCAACUGUGAUUAACUUGUAACCACCAGGAACCCCCAGAGUGGAGAGCUGACAGACUUCUUCAGCCAAUGUCUCGGGAGCAGGAACAAACUCUGGGUUUAUUCACUGUAACAGUUACUCUCACAUGGCAGCCAUCCAUUGCUCCACAGAGGUCACGGAAUAAGUUAGCAGCCCAAGAGAUGAGUGUGGACUGGAGGCCACGCCUCACAAGGAGCGCAGGGAGUCCAGCCCGCCGGCACCAGGAAGAGGGUGCUCACACCGAUGACGGACUCCAGUGGCCCCACGGGGCUCUCUGGCGAAUGCAAGUGCGCAGUGGGGACUCAGCCUUGGCAGUAGCAAGUCCUUGUGGGCAAGAUGACGGCCAGGUCUGCCUUUGCCUCCCAUGUGGCUCUCAGGCUCCCUGUCCCAGACAUGGCUUCCUGCUGCUCCAUUGGCUGGAGUCUGGCCAAUGGAGCAGCGGGAAAAGCCUGCAGGCAGCAAGUCUGUGCACUGCUUUGUUCCUCCAGCUGGGGGAGGGGGAGCGUGUGCUCCAGCUUUUUCCCUGAUCACACAGUGAGGCUUCGGGCUUUCUCCACCCCCGCAGGAAGCCGGCACUGGCUAAAAUCUUGCAAAGUGCACAAAGAUGUA